rnacentral:rRNA from 1 species
UACAGAGGGGGCAAGCGUUGUUCGGAAUUACUGGGCGUAAAGGGCGCGUAGGCGGCCUUCUAAGUCGAACGUGAAAUCCCUGGGCUCAACCCAGGAACUGCGUCCGAUACUGGAAGGCUUGAAUCCGGGAGAGGGAUGCGGAAUUCCAGGUGUAGUGGUGAAAUGCGUAGAUAUCAGGAGGAACACCGGUGGCGAAGGCGGGUCUCUGGGCCGAUACUGACGCUGAGGAGCGAAAGCGUGGGGAGCGAACAGG